GACGAACGCUGGCGGCGUGCCUAAUACAUGCAAGUUGAGCGCUGAAGGUUGGUACUUGUACCAACUGGAUGAGCAGCGAACGGGUGAGUAACGCGUGGGGAAUCUGCCUUUGAGCGGGGGACAACAUUUGGAAACGAAUGCUAAUACCGCAUAAAAACUUUAAACACAAGUUUUAAGUUUGAAAGAUGCAAUUGCAUCACUCAAAGAUGAUCCCGCGUUGUAUUAGCUAGUUGGUGAGGUAAAGGCUCACCAAGGCGAUGAUACAUAGCCGACCUGAGAGGGUGAUCGGCCACAGUGGGACUGAGACACGGCCCAAACUCCUACGGGAGGCAGCAGUAGGGAAUCUUCGGCAAUGGACGAAAGUCUGACCGAGCAACGCCGCGUGAGUGAAGAAGGGUUUCGGAUAGUAAAACUCUGUUGGUAGAGAAGAACGUUGGUGAGAGUGGAAAGCUCAUCAAGUGACGGUAACUACCCAGAAAGGGACGGCUAACUACGUG
rnacentral:rRNA from 1 species